UAGGGAAUCUUCGGCAAUGGACGAAAGUCUUACCGAGCAACGCCGCGUGAGUGAAGAAGGUUUUCGGAUCGUAAAACUCUGUUGUUAGAGAAGAACAAGGACGUUAGUAACUGAACGUCCCCUGACGGUAUCUAACCAGAAAGCCACGGCUAACUACGUGCCAGCAGCCGCGGUAAUACGUAGGUGGCAAGCGUUGUCCGGAUUUAUUGGGCGUAAAGCGAGCGCAGGCGGUUUCUUAAGUCUGAUGUGAAAGCCCCCGGCUCAACCGGGGAGGGUCAUUGGAAACUGGGAGACUUGAGUGCAGAAGAGGAGAGUGGAAUUCCAUGGGUAGCGGUGAAAUGCGUAGAUAUAUGGAGGAACACCAGUGGCGAAGGCGGCUCUCUGGUCUGUAACUGACGCUGAGGCUCGAAAGCGUGGGGAGCAAACAGG
rnacentral:rRNA from 1 species